GGUCGCUGCAAAGACAUCACAAGAAGAGUGAGGAGGAGACAGUAUGUCCAGGAACCUUUUCCCAGGGGAGGGGGGCUAUGUUGGGUCCUUAUCUUAGGAGUUAUCCUGGGGGAUGACCUAUAACUAGAUCUACUUGGGGUUCUUUAUUAUUAUUAUUAUUAUUAUUAUUAUUUUAGUUGUCAAUGGACCUUUAUUUUAUUCAUUUAUAUGUAGUUCUGAGAAUCAAACCAGUGCCUCACAUGUACUAGGCAAGUGCUCUACCACUGCACUUUGACCCCAGCCCCUACUUGAGGUUCUUAAGGAUAUUAAUUGCAGGUAACCUGUAGAAGUUACCUGAGAGCUUUGCCUCAGGAAAGUUAACUGGAGGUCACUCCUAGGUUGACUGGAGACCACAUCCAUCUGGGGGUCUUACUGGGGAGGAAUAUGUGGGGUCUCACCUGGGGGUAGUUACCUGGAACUCUGACCUGGCAGGGGUUACCUAAGGUAAUCUAGAAGGGAGCCUUUAUUUGAAGGUAACCAGGGGAGUGACGUAUAGCCUCAUCUUGAGCAGUUACCUGAAGCCUUUCUCUGAGUUACCUUGAAACUUAACUGGGAAGGAUACCUGGGGACCUUGCCUAGAGAUAGUUACCUGGGAACCAUACCUUAUUGCUCUGUAUGAGGAUGUGAGUCUACCCUUGAGCUACACCCUGUCUGGGCACUUUACAUAUAUUUAAUUCAUUUAAUUUUGACAAUACUCCCUCAGGGAGGGGCUAUUCUUGUCUAUAUUUUUCAAAUGAUGACACUGGUAAACUCACCUGCCCAAGCUAAUCAUCAAAAGUUCCCCAACCUUGUGUAUAAUUCAUUAUCUGGGCAUUUGCCCAGAUAAUGUUUUACCUGAGGAACCUUGCUGAGUUCAACACUUGAAUUUUCUCAGGGUGCUGGAGAUUGAACCCAGGGCUUCACACAUGCUAAAUGCAUGCUCUACCUUUGAGCUACACCCCAUAGGACCAAAGGUGCCACCACCAACUGUCGGGAGCUGCCAAGUAGGAACCAAGAGCCCCUUAGCCUUGAGCGAUGAGAAUGUGGAGAUAUGGCAAGCCAGCCAUGGGCUGUAUGUGUGAACUAUGAGCCCCGAGCACACAAAGUGGACUGAACCCACGUUGCCCCUCUGUUUGGGCAAGCUUCCGCUCUGGUCUUUUCGCUUGCUCUGCCUGUGAUUCCUACAUAGCUCAUGAGAUGGGCAUGGCCUUCCUAGAUGUCAGUCAGCCUGCUGACAGUAGACAACACAAAGCUAAACUCAACCCCCUGAAAGCUGACCCCUUGCCUCAUUUGAAUGGCUUCUCCCCAAUAAAGGGUUCAGCAUGUGCCUCAGUCUCUUUCCACAGACCCCUAAGGUCAGAGGAGCCAUCACAAGACCCAAAGAAAAAGACACAACAUCUUUGUUGGUACCGCAGGAUCUCGCCUACAUACAGGAUCACCGUCACACCAUGCUGCCGGCAAUCAUUCCAGAAGCGGGAGGCAGAAAAUUUGGGGGCCAGGACACAGGUGGCUCCUGGGAGGAAGAGAAGGAGACUACUCCCAUGAGAAGAGUAUAGGGAGGCCUGGAUUCAAGUCUUGUUUCUAGAAGUAUGCAAAGCUCACUACCUGGUAUAAGGUAAACAUUGCCAAAUAAGGGCUGGCGAUUAAUUAUUCUCAAAUUUGAUAAGUGAAUGACUAGUAAAAUAGAAGGGUAAGUGGGAGGAUGGGUAUGGUGGAUGGGUGGAAAGGUGACUUGGUGGGUAGAUAGAUUGAAUGGGGAAUGCAUGGAUGGAUGGGUGAGUGGUGGCAGGGGUGGGUGGGUACAUGGAUAGAUGGGUGAAUAGAAAGAUGGAUAGAUAGGUGUAAGGGUGGAUGAAUGGACAGGUAAGUAGGUAGAGAGAUGAAUGGGAGAAUAGGUGAGGAGGAAGGUGAGUAAUUGGGAGGUUUGGUAGGAGGGCAUAUAGUAUUGGCUGAUGGCACAUAGAUUAGUGAUAAUAUUUAGGGCCACUAUGUUCACUCCAGAAAAGUGAUUCUUCCCUCCUGAUCCCUACGUGACAUCUGGUUCAUCAUCCUACACCCAAGGGGUAGCUGCUUGUGUGCCUGGUGAGGUAACAAAUGUGUCUUCUCUGAGACUGUUUUUUUUGGGAAAAGUAACAAUGCUCUCUGUGAAAACACAACCCAGGUCACUGAAAUUGGCAGUUUUGCUUCCAAUCCCUAAGGAAACAUCUGAAUUGCAAAAGAAGCAACUAGGGAACCUUGAUGGAGAGACUUCCCAGUCCAUCUCAACCUCUCUAAGGCAGGUAACAGACAUAAGUGCCCCCAGUGUGACAAAUGAGGAAUCAGCAAGAUUCUUGGGGUGUAGUUCGGGUGUGGUUCAGUGGUAGAGAAUUUGUUUAGUAUAUAUGAGUCCCUAGAUUCAAGCCCCAGCAUGUGAACAAAUAGCAAAACAAAGCAGAAACUGAACCUAAAACGCCUUUAGAAGGCCUUUCAUUCAAUCUUACAGGAAAUCCUGGAGGAAAGAGGAAUGGACACCUAACAAGUAAAGGAAACACGGAGACUUUAACUGAAAAAAAGCAAUUGGGGAGGGCUGUGGUUGUGGCUCAGUGCCAGAGUGCGUGUCUAAUGUGUGUGAGGCACUGGGUUCAAUCUCAGCACCAUAUAAAAAUAAAUAAAGUAUUAUGUCCAUCUACAACUAAAAAAAAAGGCAAUUGGGGAAAUUUGAAUAUGGACUUGACACAAAAUAGUA